CGAGUGUGGAGUUGCGCCUUUGCGAACGGAGGUUUCAAGCCUACUUAUGGUCUCAGGAGAGCUCCGGAGAAGGGUCUUGGGGACUCCCGGUCUUUCGUGGGCCGACGCCAGCCUCCGAAGACUGAAGGUCGCAGAGCCGGGCUGCUUGGGAAGCGAACCUGUCUCUCCCAGGGUGAAGUUGCUGGUGCUGCUCGCGCCCGAGGGAAGCUAGGUUCCCUUCAGGGAUCCUUAUGUCUCUUCUGAACCCACCUGGCAUUGCUUCGGCUCUCUCUUAGCCGUCAUUUCGGCCGCUUUCUUUCUUCUUCUUAAAAAGCCAAAACCUUUCGUCUCGACGUGGUCUUGGAGCCAAACUUGAAGAAUGAUUCGUGAAUCCGGAAUGGACGACAGUGUCAUUACGACAUAAUUUUGACCAUGGAUACUUAUGAUUCUCAAGGACCAACUUCUAGACGAAGGACCUCAAAUCUUAAGGACUACUUUGUGAGUGCCACCCCUCUGCAGAAACGACUGAAGUUGGCCAGGAGACAGAGUUCAGUUUUUCCCAGUCCAUCUCGAAGGAAAAUUCCCCAGUGUUCACAGUUGCAGACUAUUCUAGACUUCUAAGUGCAUUUAUUGCUGCCGAAAAGCAAAAAGGACUUGCUGUGGAAGUGGGAGAAGACUUCAAUAUCAAAGUGAUUUUCUCUACUCUUCUUGGAGUGAAAGGGACGCAAAGGGACCCUGAAGCAUUUCUUGUCCAGAUUCGUUCAGAAUCCCAGUCAUCACGUGAACACAGACAAGAUAAAGUGUUGUGGACCGGUUGGUUCUGUUGUGUAUUUGGAGAGAACCUUCAGGAGACUGUCUCAGAAGAUUUCACCUGUCUACCCUUAUUCCUUGCACAUGGAGCGGAAUCCAACACAUCCCUAAUCGGAGGCUGGUUUCAGAAAACUUUUGACUGUUGCUUUAGUCCUUUAGCAAUCAGUGCAUUUAAUCUUUCCUGGAUGGCUGCUAUGUGGACUGCAUGCAAAAUGGACCAUUACAUGGCUACUACUGAAUUCUUUUGGUCUGUGCCCUGUAGCCCACAGAGCUUAGAUAUUUCUUAUGCCAUACAUCCAGAGGAUGCAAAAGCUUUAUGGGACAGUGUCCACAAAACACCUGGGGAAGUUACCCAGGAGGAGGUCGACUUAUUUAUGAACUGCCUUUAUUCACAUUUCCAUAGGCAUUUCAGAAUUCACUUAUCAGCCACAAGAUUGGUUCGCGUCUCAACGUCUGUAGCUUCGGCACACACGGAUGGGAAAAUAAAGAUCCUGUGUCAUAAAUACCUUAUUGGUGUGUUGGCAUAUAUGACGGAACUGGCUAUUUUUCAAAUUGAAUGAAUUCUUGUAUGGACUAAUUGAUGCAUUGUAAACCCUUUUGAUCAUUUGCUGAAUUGCUAUGCUGAGUGGGACAGUAGAAGAAAUGGAGCACUUGUUUUCUCAGGAUGCCUUCGGAGUUGCCCAGGUGGAUCUGGAACCCAGUAGUGGUAGUGGGUGAGCUGCAUUCCUGGGCUUGUGUACCCAUCAUGUCACUGUGGCUGUGUCAUGUUAUAAAAGAUGGUGAAUUGUUAAUAUAAAAGGAUCCAAUUUAGUCAAAUAAACUUAUCUAAACUCUGA
rnacentral:lncRNA from 1 species